UAAGUUAUUCCCUCAAAGGACAAAUAUUU
rnacentral:piRNA from 1 species